rnacentral:rRNA from 1 species
AGUGAACGCUGGCGGUAGGCCUAACACAUGCAAGUCGAACGGCAGCACAGUAAGAGCUUGCUCUUACGGGUGGCGAGUGGCGGACGGGUGAGGAAUACAUCGGAAUCUACUUUUUCGUGGGGGAUAACGUAGGGAAACUUACGCUAAUACCGCAUACGACCUACGGGUGAAAGCAGGGGAUCUUCGGACCUUGCGCGAUUGAAUGAGCCGAUGUCGGAUUAGCUAGUUGGCGGGGUAAAGGCCCACCAAGGCGACGAUCCGUAGCUGCUCGGGGAGGAGUAUCAGCCCCACUGGAACCUACGCACGCUCCCAACUCCUACGGGAGGCAGCCGUGGGGAAUAUUGGACAAUGGGCGCAAGCCUGAUCCAGCCAUACCGCGUGGGUGAAGAAGGCCUUCGGGUUGUAAAGCCCUUUUGUUGGGAAAGAAAAGCAGCAGGUUAAUACCCCGCUGUUCUGACGGUACCCAAAGAAUAAGCACCGGCUAACUUCGUG